GGUUGAACUUGAGUUUGUGGUGUUUUUUGAACUUGAGUUUGUUUCGUGUUUGAAUUUGAGCUUGUGUGUUUUUUUGUCUAAAGUUUGUGGCACUUUAUGAACUUGAGUUUGUUGAACUUGAGUUUGUGGUCUUUGUUCAACUUGAGUUUGUGAUUUUUAGUGAACUCUAGUUGGUGGCAUCUUUGAACUUGAGUUUGUGGCAUUUGUUGAACUUGAGUUUGUGAUGUGUUUGAACUUGAGUUUGUGGUGUUUUUGAACUUGAGUUUGUGUCCUGUUUGAAAAUGAGUUUGUGGCGUGUUUGAACUUGAGUUUCUGCUGUCUUUGAACUUGAGGUUGUGGCAAUUGUUAAACUUGAGGUUUGGGUGUUGGUUGAUCUUGAGUUUUUGUCUUGUUUGAACUUUUGUUUUUGGAUUUUUUGAACUAGAGUUUGUGUGUUUUUUUAACUUAAGUUUUUGGCAACUUAUGAACUUGAGUAUAUUGAACUUGAGUUUGUGGCAUUUGUUGAACUUGAGUUUGUGAUGUGUUUGCACUCCAGGUUGUGGUGUUUUUGAACUUGAGGUUGUGGCAAUUGUUGAACUUGAGUCUGUGGUUUUUAGUGAACUUAAGUUGGUGGCAAUUCUUUAACUUGAUUUUUGAGUUUGUAGCGUGUUUGAAUUUGAGGUUGUUGCAAUUUUUAAAUUUGAGAUUUGGGUGUUGGUUGAACUUAAAAUUUUCACAUUUAUUGAACUGGAGUUUGUGGUUUUUUGUUGAACUUGAGCUUGUGUUUUUUGAACUUGAGUAUGUGUGUUUGUUGAACUUGAGUUUGUGGUGUUUUUUGAACUUGAGGUUGUGGUUUUUUUUAACCUGAGUUUGUGUUUUUCUUGAACUUGAGUUUUUGGCAUGUUUGAAUUUGAGGUUCUUGCAAUUCUUAAACUUGAGAUUUGGGUGUUGGUUGAACUUGAAACUGUGACAUUUGUUGAACUUGAGUUUGUGGUGUUUGCUGAACCUGAGUUUGUAUCGUGUUUGAAACUGAGUUUGUGGUGUUUUUGAACUUGAGGUUGUGUGUUUUUUGAACUUGAGUUUGUGGUGUUUUUGAACUUCAGUUUGUGGCCCUUUUUUAACUUGAGUUUGUUGAACUUUAGUUUUUGGCAAUUGUUAAAUGUGAGUUUAGGUCAUUUGUUGAACUUGAAAUUUUGGAAUUUGUUGAACUUAAGAUUGUGGUGUUUGUUGAACUUGAGUUUUUGGCAAUUGUUGAACUUGAGUCUGUAUUUUUCUCUAAACUUUAGUUGGUGGCAAUUGUUGAAGUUGAGUUUGUGGUGUUUUUGCACCUGAGUUUGUGUCGUGUCUGAACUUGAGUUUGUGUUGUAUUUGAACUUGAGGUUGUGGCAAUUGUUAAACUUGAGAUUUGGGUGUUGGUUGAACUUGAAAUUGUGGUAUUUGGCAAAUUUGAGUUUGUCGCGUGUUUGAACUUGAGUUUGUGGUGUUUUUGAACUUGAAGUUGUUGAAAUUGUAAAAUUUGAGAUUUGGAUUUGGUUGAACUUGAGUUAGUGUUGCAUUUUGAACUUGAGUUUGUGGUGUUUUUGAGCUUGAGCUUGUGUGUUUUUUGAACUGAAGUUUGUGGCAAUUGUUAAACUUGCGACUUGGGUGUUGGUUGAACUUGAGUUUGUGGUGUUUUUGAACUUGACUUUGUGUGUUUGUUGAACUUGAGUUUGUGGCGUGUUUGAACUUGAGUUUGCGGUGUUUUUGAACUUGAUUUUGUAUGUUUGUUGAACUUGAGUUUGUGGCGUGUUUGAACUUGAGUUUGUGGUGUUUUUGAAAUUAAGGUUUUGGCAAAUGUUAAACUUGAGAUUUGGGUGUUGGUUGAACUUGAGUUUUUGUUGUUUUUGAACUUGAGAUUGUGGUGUUUUUGAACUUCAGUAAGUGUGUUUGUUUAACUUUAGUUUAUGCUGUGUUUGAACUUGAGUUUUUGGUGUUUUUGAAAUUGACUGUGUGUUUGAACUUGAGUUUGUGUUGUGUUUGAACUUGGGCUUGUGUCUUGUUUGAACUUGAGUUUGUGGUGUUUGUUGAACUUGAGUUUGUGUCGUGUUUGCACUUGAGUUUUUGGUGUUUUUGAUCUUGACUUGGUGGUGUAUUUGAACUUGAGUUUUGUGUUUGAACUUGAGUUUGUGGUGUUUGUUGAACUUGAGUUUGUGGCGUGUUUGCACUUGAGUUUUUGGUGUUUUUGAUCUUGAUUUUGUGUGUAUGUUGAACUUGAGUUUGUGGUGUUUUUGAACUUGAGUUGGUGGUGUUAAUGAACUUAAGCUUGUGUUUGAACUUGAGUUUGUGGUUUUUGUUGAACUUGAGUUUGUGUCAUGUUUGAACUUGAUUUUGUGUUGUUUUUAACUUGAGUUUGUGGUUUUUUUUAAGUUGAGGGUGUGGAAUUUGUUGAAUUUGAGGUUGUGGCAAUUGUUAAACUUGAGUUUGUGUUUUAGUUGAACUUGAGUUUGUGUCGUGUUUGCACUUGAGUUAGUGGUGUUUUUUAUGAACUUGAGUUUGUGUGUUUGUUAAACUUGAGGGUGUGGCAAUUGUUAAACUUGAGAUCUGGGUGUUGGUUGAACUUAAGUUUUUUUGUGUUUGAACUUGAGUUUGUGGUGUUUGUUGAAUUUGAGUUUGUGUGUGUUUGAACUUGAUUUUGAGGUGUUUUUGAACCUGAGUUUGUGGUUUUUGUUUGAACUUGAUUUUGUGUGUUUGUUAAACUUGAGUUUGUGUGUUUUUUGAACUUGAGUUGGUGGUGUUUUUGAACUUGAGUUUCGUGUUUGAACCAGAGUUUGUGGUUUUUGUUAAACUUGAGUUUGUGUCAUGUUUUAACUUGAGUUUGUGGUCUUCUUGAAAUUGAGUUUGUGUGUUUUUUGAAGUUAAGGAUGUGGAAUUUGUUGUACUCAAGGUUGUGGAAAUUGUUAAACUUGAGUUUGUGUGUUAUUUGAACUCUAGUGUGUGUUGUAUUUGAACUUCAGUUUGUGUGAUUGUUGAACUUGAGUUUGUGUUGUUUUUGAACUUGAGUUUGUGGUCUUCUUGAAAUUGAGUUUGUGGUGUUUUUAAACUUGAGUUUGUGUGUUUGUUAAACUUGAGGGUGUGGCAAUUGUUAAACUUGAGAUCUGGGUGUUGGUUGAACUUAAGUUUUUGUUGUGUUUGAACUUGAGUUUGUGGUGUUUUUUAACUUGAGUUUGUGGUGUUUUUGAACUUGAAUUUGUUGUGUUUGAACUUGAGUUUGUGGUGUUUGUUGAAUUUGAGUUUGUGUCGUAUUACAACUUGAUUUUGUGGUGUUUUUGAACUUGAGUUUGUGGUUUUUGUUUGAACUUGAUUUUGUGUGUUUGUUAAACUUGAGUUUGUGUGUUUUUUUAACUUGAGUUGGUGGUGUUUUUGAACUUGAGUUUCGUGUUUGAACCAGAGUUUGUGGUUUUUGUUAAAUUUGAGUUUGUGUCAUGUUUUAACUUGAGUUUGUGGUCUUCUUGAAAUUGAGUUUGUGUUAUUUUUGAAGUUGAGGAUUUGGAAUUUGUUGUACUCAAGGUUGUGGAAAUUGUUAAACUUGACUUUGUGUGGUAUUUGAACUCUAGUGUGUGUUGUAUUUGAACUUCAGUUUGUGUGAUUGUUGAACUUGAGUUUGUGUUGUGUUUGAACUUGAGUUUGUGGUGUUUGUUGAACUUGAGUUUGUGUUGUGUUUGCAAUUGAGUUUGUGGUGUUUUUGAACUUGAGUUUGUGGUGUUUUUAAACUUGAGUUUGUGUGUUUGUCAAACUUGAAUUUGUUAUGUUUGAACUUGAGUUUGUGGUGUUUGUUGAACUUGAGUUCGUGUCGUGUUUGCACUUGAGUUUGUGGUGUUUUUGAACUUGAUUUUGUAUGUUUGUUGAACUUGAGUUUGUGGCGUGUUUGAACUUGAGUUUGUGGUGUUUUUGAAAUUAAGGUUUUGGCAAAUGUUAAACUUGAGAUUUGGGUGUUGGUUGAACUUGAGUUUUUGUUGUUUUUGAACUUGAGAUUGUGGUGUUUUUGAACUUCAGUAAGUGUGUUUGUUUAACUUUAGUUUAUGCUGUGUUUGAACUUGAGUUUUUGGUGUUUUUGAAAUUGACUGUGUGUUUGAACUUGAGUUUGUGUUGUGUUUGAACUUGGGCUUGUGUCUUGUUUGAACUUGAGUUUGUGGUGUUUGUUGAACUUGAGUUUGUGUCGUGUUUGCACUUGAGUUUUUGGUGUUUUUGAUCUUGACUUGGUGGUGUAUUUGAACUUGAGUUUUGUGUUUGAACUUGAGUUUGUGGUGUUUGUUGAACUUGAGUUUGUGGCGUGUUUGCACUUGAGUUUUUGGUGUUUUUGAUCUUGAUUUUGUGUGUAUGUUGAACUUGAGUUUGUGGUGUUUUUGAACUUGAGUUGGUGGUGUUAAUGAACUUAAGCUUGUGUUUGAACUUGAGUUUGUGGUGUUUGUUGAACUUGAGUUUGUGUCGUGUUUGCACUUGAGUUUUGGUCUUGAUUUUGUGUGUAUGUUGAACUUGAGUUUGUGGUGUUUUUGAACUUGAGUUGGUGGUGUUAUUGAACUUGAGCUUGUGUUUGAACUUGAGUUUGUGGUUUUUGUUGAACUUGAGUUUGUGUUGUUUUUGAACUUCAGUUUGUGUGGUGUUUUUGAACUUGAAUUUUUGUCGUGUUUCAACUUGAGUUUGUGGCGUGUUUGAAAAUGAGUUUGUGGCAUGUUUGAACUUGAGUUUGUGUUGUUUUUGAACUUGAGGUUGUGGCAAUUGUUAAACUUGAGAUUUGGGUGUUGGUUGAACUUGAGUUUGUGGUGUUUUUUGAACUUGAGUUUGUUUCGUGUUUGAAUUUGAGCUUGUGUGUUUUUUUAUCUAAAGUUUGUGGCACUUUAUGAACUUGAGUUUGUUGAACUUGAGUUUGUGGUCUUUGUUCAACUUGAGUUUGUGAUUUUUAGUGAACUCUAGUUGGUGGCAUCUUUGAACUUGAGUUUGUGGCAUUUGUUGAACUUGAGUUUGUGAUGUGUUUGAACUUGAGUUUGUGGUGUUUUUGAACUUGAGUUUGUGUCCUGUUUGAAAAUGAGUUUGUGGCGUGUUUGAACUUGAGUUUCUGCUGUCUUUGAACUUGAGGUUGUGGCAAUUGUUAAACUUGAGGUUUGGGUGUUGGUUGAUCUUGAGUUUUUGUCUUGUUUGAACUUUUGUUUUUGGAUUUUUUGAACUAGAGUUUGUGUGUUUUUUUAACUUAAGUUUUUGGCAACUUAUGAACUUGAGUAUAUUGAACUUGAGUUUGUGGCAUUUGUUGAACUUGAGUUUGUGAUGUGUUUGCACUCCAGGUUGUGGUGUUUUUGAACUUGAGGUUGUGGCAAUUGUUGAACUUGAGUCUGUGGUUUUUAGUGAACUUAAGUUGGUGGCAAUUCUUUAACUUGAUUUUUGAGUUUGUAGCGUGUUUGAAUUUGAGGUUGUUGCAAUUUUUAAAUUUGAGAUUUGGGUGUUGGUUGAACUUAAAAUUUUCACAUUUAUUGAACUGGAGUUUGUGGUUUUUUGUUGAACUUGAGCUUGUGUUUUUUGAACUUGAGUAUGUGUGUUUGUUGAACUUGAGUUUGUGGUGUUUUUUGAACUUGAGGUUGUGGUUUUUUUUAACCUGAGUUUGUGUUUUUCUUGAACUUGAGUUUUUGGCAUGUUUGAAUUUGAGGUUCUUGCAAUUCUUAAACUUGAGAUUUGGGUGUUGGUUGAACUUGAAACUGUGACAUUUGUUGAACUUGAGUUUGUGGUGUUUGCUGAACCUGAGUUUGUAUCGUGUUUGAAACUGAGUUUGUGGUGUUUUUGAACUUGAGGUUGUGUGUUUUUUGAACUUGAGUUUGUGGUGUUUUUGAACUUCAGUUUGUGGCCCUUUUUUAACUUGAGUUUGUUGAACUUUAGUUUUUGGCAAUUGUUAAAUGUGAGUUUAGGUCAUUUGUUGAACUUGAAAUUUUGGAAUUUGUUGAACUUAAGAUUGUGGUGUUUGUUGAACUUGAGUUUUUGGCAAUUGUUGAACUUGAGUCUGUAUUUUUCUCUAAACUUUAGUUGGUGGCAAUUGUUGAAGUUGAGUUUGUGGUGUUUUUGCACCUGAGUUUGUGUCGUGUCUGAACUUGAGUUUGUGUUGUAUUUGAACUUGAGGUUGUGGCAAUUGUUAAACUUGAGAUUUGGGUGUUGGUUGAACUUGAAAUUGUGGUAUUUGGCAAAUUUGAGUUUGUCGCGUGUUUGAACUUGAGUUUGUGGUGUUUUUGAACUUGAAGUUGUUGAAAUUGUAAAAUUUGAGAUUUGGAUUUGGUUGAACUUGAGUUAGUGUUGCAUUUUGAACUUGAGUUUGUGGUGUUUUUGAGCUUGAGCUUGUGUGUUUUUUGAACUGAAGUUUGUGGCAAUUGUUAAACUUGCGACUUGGGUGUUGGUUGAACUUGAGUUUGUGGUGUUUUUGAACUUGACUUUGUGUGUUUGUUGAACUUGAGUUUGUGGCGUGUUUGAACUUGAGUUUGCGGUGUUUUUGAACUUGACUUUGUGUGUUUGUUGAACUUGAGUUUGUGGCGUGUUUGAACUUGAGUUUGUGGUGUUUUUGAAAUUAAGGUUUUGGCAAAUGUUAAACUUGAGAUUUGGGUGUUGGUUGAACUUGAGUUUUUGUUGUUUUUGAACUUGAGAUUGUGGUGUUUUUGAACUUCAGUAAGUGUGUUUGUUUAACUUUAGUUUAUGCUGUGUUUGAACUUGAGUUUUUGGUGUUUUUGAAAUUGACUUUGUGUUUGAACUUGAGUUUGUGUUGUGUUUGAACUUGGGCUUGUGUCUUGUUUGAACUUGAGUUUGUGGUGUUUGUUGAACUUGAGUUUGUGUCGUGUUUGCACUUGAGUUUUUGGUGUUUUUGAUCUUGACUUGGUGGUGUAUUUGAACUUGAGUUUUGUGUUUGAACUUGAGUUUGUGGUGUUUGUUGAACUUGAGUUUGUGGCGUGUUUGCACUUGAGUUUUUGGUGUUUUUGAUCUUGAUUUUGUGUGUAUGUUGAACUUGAGUUUGUGGUGUUUUUGAACUUGAGUUGGUGGUGUUAUUGAACUUGAGCUUGUGUUUGAACUUGAGUUUGUGGUUUUUGUUGAACUUGAGUUUGUGUUGUUUUUGAACUUCAGUUUGUGUGGUGUUUUUGAACUUGAAUUUUUGUCGUGUUUCAACUUGAGUUUGUGGCGUGUUUGAAAAUGAGUUUGUGGCAUGUUUGAACUUGAGUUUGUGUUGUUUUUGAACUUGAGGUUGUGGCAAUUGUUAAACUUGAGAUUUGGGUGUUGGUUGAACUUGAGUUUGUGGUGUUUUUUGAACUUGAGUUUGUUUCGUGUUUGAAUUUGAGCUUGUGUGUUUUUUUAUCUAAAGUUUGUGGCACUUUAUGAACUUGAGUUUGUUGAACUUGAGUUUGUGGUCUUUGUUCAACUUGAGUUUGUGAUUUUUAGUGAACUCUAGUUGGUGGCAUCUUUGAACUUGAGUUUGUGGCAUUUGUUGAACUUGAGUUUGUGAUGUGUUUGAACUUGAGUUUGUGGUGUUUUUGAACUUGAGUUUGUGUCCUGUUUGAAAAUGAGUUUGUGGCGUGUUUGAACUUGAGUUUCUGCUGUCUUUGAACUUGAGGUUGUGGCAAUUGUUAAACUUGAGGUUUGGGUGUUGGUUGAUCUUGAGUUUUUGUCUUGUUUGAACUUUUGUUUUUGGAUUUUUUGAACUAGAGUUUGUGUGUUUUUUGAACUUAAGUUUUUGGCAACUUAUGAACUUGAGUAUAUUGAAAUUAAGUUUGUGGCAAAUGUUGAACUUGAGUUUGUGGCAUUUGUUGAACUUGAGUUUGUGAUGUGUUUGCACUCCAGGUUGUGGUGUUUUUGAACUUGAGGUUCUGGCAAUUGUUGAACUUGAGUCUGUGGUUUUUAGUGAACUUAAGUUGGUGGCAAUUCUUUAACUUGAUUUUUGAGUUUGUAGCGUGUUUGAAUUUGAGGUUGUUGCAAUUUUUAAAUUUGAGAUUUGGGUGUUGGUUGAACUUAAAAUUUUCACAUUUAUUGAACUGGAGUUUGUGGUUUUUUGUUGAACUUGAGCUUGUGUUUUUUGAACUUGAGUAUGUGGUUUUUGUUGAACUUGAGUUUGUGUCAUGUUUGAACUUGAUUUUGUGUUGUUUUUAACUUGAGUUUGUGGUUUUUUUUAAGUUGAGGGUGUGGAAUUUGUUGAAUUUGAGGUUGUGGCAAUUGUUAAACUUGAUUUUGUGUUUUAGUUGAACUUGAGUUUGUGUCGUGUUUGCACUUGAGUUUGUGGUGUUUUUUAUGAACUUGAGUUUGUGUGUUUGUUAAACUUGAGGGUGUGGCAAUUGUUAAACUUGAGAUCUGGGUGUUGGUUGAACUUAAGUUUUUUUGUGUUUGAACUUGAGUUUGUGGUGUUUGUUGAAUUUGAGUUUGUGUGUGUUUGAACUUGAUUUUGAGGUGUUUUUGAACCUGAGUUUGUGGUUUUUGUUUGAACUUGAUUUUGUGUGUUUGUUAAACUUGAGUUUGUGUGUUUUUUGAACUUGAGUUGGUGGUGUUUUUGAACUUGAGUUUCGUGUUUGAACCAGAGUUUGUGGUUUUUGUUAAACUUGAGUUUGUGUCAUGUUUUAACUUGAGUUUGUGGUCUUCUUGAAAUUGAGUUUGUGUGUUUUUUGAAGUUAAGGAUGUGGAAUUUGUUGUACUCAAGGUUGUGGAAAUUGUUAAACUUGAGUUUGUGUGUUAUUUGAACUCUAGUGUGUGUUGUAUUUGAACUUCAGUUUGUGUGAUUGUUGAACUUGAGUUUGUGUUGUGUUUGAACUUGAGUUUGUGGUCUUUUGAACUUGAGUUUGUGGUGUUUUUAACUUGAGUUUGUGUGUUUUUGAACUUGAAGUUUGUGGCAAUUGUUAAACUUGAGAUUGGGUGUUGGUUGAACUUGAGUUUUGUUGUGUUUGAACUUGA
rnacentral:lncRNA from 1 species